UACGAAGGGUGCAAGCGUUACUCGGAAUUACUGGGCGUAAAGCGUGCGUAGGUGGUGAGUUAAGUCUGUCGUGAAAGCCCCGGGCUCAACCUGGGAAUGGCGAUGGAUACUGGCUCGCUAGAGUGCGGUAGAGGAGAGUGGAAUUCCCGGUGUAGCAGUGAAUUGCGUAGAGAUGUGGAGGAACACCAGUGGCGAAGGCGACUCUUUGGUCUGUAACUGACGCUGAGGCGCGAAAGCGUGGGGAGCAAACAGG
rnacentral:rRNA from 1 species